GUGGGAUUUAUUUGGCAAAGAAAAGUCAAGAGAAAAGGUGGUAGCUAUUCUAGCAAGUCUUCUGUGGAGGAGUAGCACUAGGCUAGUAACUUAUUACACUAGUCUCGAUUCCUCAAGGUUGUACGAGCUGUAAUAGUAGUAGAAAAACCUCCCGUCCCGAGUUGGCUUAAGCCAUGCCUUUACUAAAGAAUUCUCGCCAUCUCAGAUAAAAUCUGG
rnacentral:lncRNA from 1 species